rnacentral:rRNA from 1 species
ACGCUCGACACCUACGGAAGGCAGCAGUGGGGAAUAUUGCACAAUGGGGGAAACCCUGAUGCAGCGACGCCGCGUGGAGGAAGAAGGUCUUCGGAUUGUAAACUCCUGUUGUUGGGGAAAAAGAGGAUGGUACCCAACAAGGAAGUGACGGCUAACUACGUGCAAGCAGCCGCGGUAAUCUGAGCGGGCUGGCAAGGC